CUAAGCUCCACCCUGGGUUGGGGACAGGUCUUUACCAAGAUAAGAGGAGUCAAGAAGUCCGGUCAUAAUCACAACAAUAUGCUUGUCAGUCAAAGGCACCGGAAGAUUGCUUAGGUGCAAAGAAAGCAUUUUCCCCUGAAAGGAAACAGGGCAAUUGAAAUCACUACUUUUCAAGACGCUGAAGUCAAAACUGUUACCAGUUUCAUGGUGUGAAAAUCCAGGUCUCAGCACCCUCCUGGUUAGACCUCAGUAUGUCCCGAGGCUAUCUAUCCAAAAACACAAGUUACAGUCUGAAGUUCAGAAGAAAUUAGACUAAAGGAAAGCACCUCGAUCAAGGUUGAUUUCCCCACCAUUAUUUUCAGGAAGAAGUUGCAAAAUACGGUUCCAGAAAUAAAAACUACACGCAUACAUCCACAUGAAUUUCUGAGCAAGAUGCCAAGCCCUUCUCUGAAGCCAUGUGAAUUUUUCUCUUGUGCGUUUGUCAGCCUGAGUCCAAGCCAUCUUACUCUUUCCUCACUUCUGUCUGGUUUUGGUUAGCUGCUUCUUGGCAUUGCUUCCGCUGGAGCUGAGGGCGUCUGCUCCCCCCACCCACUCCCUCGCCUUUCUCAUCCCUCCUCUUUUCUUUCCUUUCCCUUUAAAAUGUCUCUUUUGGUAUUCUUUCUCCUGGGUCCCAUAAUGACUCCGAGGGAGUAAAAAGGGAGCAAAAUAAGAUUAAACGGUCUCUCACACCCACACUGUCCAUCUCCAUCAGAUAUUCACACAAAAUGUAAAGAGCAUGCUCCCAGGAAGAGCC
rnacentral:lncRNA from 1 species